AGGUUAAAUAAUUUGGUUAAGAGAUUUCAAAAUUUUUAAAAAAAGCACUUAAUGAAAACCUUGGUAAAAAGUUACUAGACGUCUCGCUACGAAAAGUUAUAAGGAGGCACAGGCUUGUGAUUUAUAAAUUUCUGUAUUUAAAGUAAACUUAAUAAAAUUUAUUGGAAACAGUGUGAAUUGAAUCAUCUAAGUAACAUUGAUAAUAAAUCAAUAGAAUAGUCGUGAGUAAUGGUGAGUGAAUACGAUUUUAAAGCUUGAUAGAAAAGUUUUUAUUAGAAUCUACUAUAAUAGGUAAAAGUCCUGUAAUAGUAAAAACUUUUUAUAAAAAAAUUAUAAGUAAUAUGAAUUUUAAUUUUGUAUGAAUAAAGGAGGACCACCUUCUAAGCUUAUAAAAACUUUUUAACCGAUAGUGUAUGAGUACCGUGAGGGAAAGGUAAAGAAAUUUGAAAAAAUAAUUUGAGUUGAGUGUUUAUAAUUUUUCGGAGUAUAAAACAACGAAAUGCCUUUUGCAUAAUGAAUCAGCAAGUUAAUGUAUAUAGCAAGUUAAAUUAUUAAUAAAUAAACGUUUUAAGUAAUAUAUAUUAAACCUGAAACCAAGUGAUCUAAUUGUGAGCAAGCUAAAAAAGUUUUAAAAGAUUUUUGAGGGCUGAACUCGUAUAUGUAGCAAAAUAUAGAGAUGACUUAUAGUUAGGAGCGAAAGACUAAUCAAACUUGGAGAUAGCCGGUUUUUCACGAAAUGUAUUUAAGUACUACGUUAAUUAUAUUAAAUUUUGAGUUAGAGUACAGAAAAAAUAAUGGGAUGUAAAAAUUUACUGACUUUUUUUUAACUCCGAAUUAAAAACUUAAAAAUUUAACAGUCAGUCUAUAAGUGAAAAGAUUUAUAGACAAAAGGAAAACAAUCCAGAUCGUAUAUUAAGAUUUCUAAAUUAUAACUUAGGGAAGAAAAUUAAAAAAAGUACAAAUAUUUAAAAUUAGUUAGGCUUAGAAGCAGUCUUUCACUAGAGAAAGCGUUUUAGCUCAUUAUUUUUCUUUUUUUAAUUUAAAAUAUAAAGAAACUUUAAGUUUUAUAUCGAAAUAGCGAAUUAAAAAAUUUUAAUGGUAGUGAAACGUUCUGUAAAAAUUUUAUAAUUGUAAAAUUAUAAAAUCUCAACAGAAAUGCUAAUGCUGAUAUGAGUAGCGAUAAUUGUGUUAAUAAAUCACAAUCACUAAAUGUUUAAGGGUUUCAAUGUAAUUUUAAAUGCAUUGAGUUAGUCGGUCCUUAAGAAGUAGAAUUAAAAUUGUAUUCGAUAGGAAAUUAAUAUAUUAUAUUAUACUUUUUAUAUGUGUUAUUUUAACAUGAAAAAGAUUAUUUAAGUUAAUUUUAUAUAUAAUUAUGUUGUAAAAGGUAAAAAAUUAAUUAAAAUUAUUUUCGAGAAAAAAUUAUAAAAAAUAAACCGUACUUAAACCGACACAGGUAAACUUAUUGAGAAAAUUAUUGGUGGAUGGAAAAAUUAUAUUGAAGGAACUCGGCAAAUUAACUCUGUAUGUUCGCUAUAAAGAGAACCCUAACAAUAUAGGGUAGCAUUAAAUAAGAAGUAACGACUGGUUAACAAAACCAUAGGACUCUGCAAAUUUGUAAAAAACUGUAUAGGGUCUGAAGCCUGCCCAGUGCUUAAGAAUAAAAAAUUUAGGUUUAUGCUUAUUUUAAAAAUCUAAGUAAACGGCGGUUCUAACUAUAAGAAUCCUUAGGUAGCGAAAUUCCUUGGCGGGUAAAUUCCGUCCUGCAUGAAUGGCGUAACGAUUACUUCACUGUCUUCAAUAUAAAUCCAGCGAAAUUACAUUAUCUAUGAAAAUGUAGAUUACUUGCAGUAAGACGGAAAGACCCUAGAUCCUUUACUUUGAUUUUAAAUUGUAAAAAAUUAUUUAAUUGUAUAGAUUAAGUGGGAAUAACUUUUUAUAUUUUUGAAAAACCACUCUUUAAAUUAAGUUUUUUACUUAAUUUAUAAAUAACAUUUUUAUAAAGACCGUUUAAAAGAGAAAGUUUACUUGGGAUGAGUACCUCCUAAAAAGUAACGGAGGUGUACGAAGGUAAGUAACAAUUAUUUAAUAAAAAUAGUGAAGAGUAUAAUGACUUAAGCUUGCUUGACAAUAAGAUUUAUAAAUCAAAUUGGGACUAAAGUCAGUCAUAGUGACCCGAUAUUUAAGUGUGGAAUUUAAUAUCGUUUAACAGAUAAAAGGAACUCUAGGGAUAACAGAUUCAUCGUGACUAAGAGUUCAUAUUGAUGUCACGGUUUGAUACCUCGAUGUCGACUCAUCUUAUCCUGGAAUUGAAGAAGAUUUCAAGGGUCUAGUUGUUCGCUAGUGAAAAAGGUACGUGAGUUGGGUUCAGAACGUCGUGAGACAGUUCGGUCCCUAUCUACUGUAAGAUUAAGAAAAAUAUAAAGUGUGUUUUUAGUACGAGAGGACCUAAACACUUUAACCUCUGGUUAAUUGAUUGUUAUUGCCAAUAGCAUCGUCGAGUAGCUAAGUUAAUUUUUAAUAAAUGCUGAAUGAAUCAAAUGUAUUAAGUAUUCUUUAUUUAUUUUUCAAGAAUAAUCUAAAAGACUAUUAGAUAGAUCGGUUUAUUAAAAUUGUUUAGUAAUAAAUAACUAUUUAUUGUAAUAAAUCCGAAUUAUUCAAAAG
rnacentral:rRNA from 1 species